AAUCAACGCUGGCGGCGUGCCUCAGACAUGCAAGUCGAACGCGAAAGUCCCCUUCGGGGGACAAGUAGAGUGGCGCACGGGUGAGUAACACGUAGGUAAUCUACCUUCGGAUGGGGAAUAACAAUCGGAAACGGUUGCUAAUACCGCAUAAUGCAGCGGCACCUAAUGGUGACAGUUGUUAAAGCGGGGGAGUCGAAAGACCUCGCGUCUGAAGAGGAGCCUGCGGCGGAUUAGCUAGUUGGUAAGGUAAUGGCUUACCAAGGCGACGAUCCGUAACCGGCCUGAGAGGGCGGUCGGUCACACUGACACUGACAUACGGGUCAGACUCCUACGGGAGGCAGCAGUCGGGAAUUUUGGGUCAAUGGGCGAAAGCCUGACCCAGCAACGCCGCGUGAAGG
rnacentral:rRNA from 1 species